UCUUAUGAACGCUAUCAUUCAAAACAGAUUAUUGGAAUUCCUAAAAUCAUUCAGCUCUGUGAUGGCAUCAUGGCCAGUGGAAGGAAGGCUGUGACACACGCCAUACCAGCUCUGCAGCCCAUAGUCCACGACCUCUUUGUAUUAAGAGGAACAAAUAAAGCUGAUGCAGGAAAAGAGCUUGAAACCCAAAAAGAGGUGGUGGUGUCAAUGUUACUGAGACUCAUCCAGUACCAUCAGGUAAGAGGAGUGUGUGUUGGAA
rnacentral:sRNA from 1 species